GUUAAUGAGUUCCUCCAGGCAGGAGAGAGAAUUUGGGCUGCCAUAUGAAAUAAUGCUAAGUGAGGGCAAAGGUGUUAAUUAAAGAGAUUUUGGGGUGGAAACGAAGGUGAAAGGCAGUGAAGAACCUGAGUCAGAUUAUAUACCAGGACUUCUCUACUCGACCACACUGGGCAGGUUGUCUAACGAGACUGGUUUGAACAUUAAUAUGCGCUGCAAAAACGCCAAGAAUCAAAAGUCAGUUGUGCUUCUCCAAGGCUGA